rnacentral:misc_RNA from 1 species
GUUCCGUAGGUGAACCUGCGGAGGGAUCAUUCCUAAUAACAGAACUACUACACUUUUCAAAACUAGUACUCACUUGGUGUGCAAGGUUGUGUUUCUUCUCGGAGAAACACCUACACCACCCUAUCACCUGUAACCACUUUCUCUGGAAUACUAUGAUGAAUACUUAAUACAAAAUACAACUUUCAACAACGGAUAUCUUGGCUCUC